AUAGGAAACCUCAAUGAGUGAACCUCCUCUCGAGGCUAAAUACAAACACAUGGCCGGCCUGACUGUUGAAACGAUUGGGAGUGCAUUAUGUCUGUGUCUUUGCAUUUCAGUUUGAAAUAUAACAUAAGUAGAGAAGACCGGGGGCGUGGAAGUUCGAACUUGAUUCUGAACGUUUAAACACCCGACUUUAUUGUACCGAUUUUCUUUUCAAGCAGUUGAAAGGCUAAGGGUACAGGAUGACUACCUACAUGGACAGAGGUGAAAAGCACGACCACGGCAAGUUCGUCUGUUUCGACCACAUCACAUUCUGGGUUGGAAAUGCCAAACAGGCAGCAUCUUACUAUUGUAACAAGCUUGGAUUUGAACCGUUGGCCUAUCGGGGUUUAGAGACAGGCUGCCGGGAUGUGGUGUCCCAUGUGGUCAAACAAGACAAGAUUAUUUAUGUAUUUGCAUCCGCUCUCAAUCCUGGAAACAAAGAAAUGGGGGAGCAUUUGGUCAAACAUGGGGAUGGAGCCAAGGACAUUGCAUUCACUGUGGAGAACUGUGAUUACCUUGUGCAGAAAGCCAGAGAGCGUGGUGCCAUCAUAGUGAAAGAGCCGUAUGUACUGGAGGACAAAUAUGGCAGGGUAAAACUAGCUGUUCUCCAGACGUAUGGGGACACCACACACACAUUUGUGGAGAGGACGGCCUAUAAUGGGCUGUUCCUCCCAGGGUUCAAUACUCCUCUCCACCGGGACCCCUUGUUGGCCAAGCUACCCAGUGGAUUACUGAACUUCAUUGACCAUGUUGUGGGGAACCAGCCGGAUAAUGAGAUGGUGCCUGUAGUGGAAUGGUACCAGAAAAACCUGCUCUUCCACCGAUUCUGGUCAGUAGACGACAAGCAGUUGCAGACAGACUUCAGUGCACUGCGCUCCAUUGUUGUGGCCAAUUAUGAAGAGACAGUGAAGAUGCCCAUUAAUGAGCCAGCCAUGGGUAAACGCAAGUCCCAGAUCCAGGAGUAUGUGGAGUACUAUGGUGGCCCAGGUGUCCAGCACAUCGCCAUGAACACAUCAGACAUCAUCACCUCAAUCCGUAACCUGAAGGAGCGUGGCAUGGAGUUCAUGUGUGUGCCAGACACCUACUACCAGCUGCUGAGAAAGAAUCUCCAACAAUCGCAAGUCAGGGUCACUGAGGACUUGGACAUUCUGGAGGUUCUUAGCUACGCAGCCAGACAAGCAAUCUUAUGUCCUGUUGCUCUGACAGGAGCUGAAGAUCUUAGUGGAUUUUGAUGACAAUGGCUACCUGCUCCAGAUCUUCACCAAGCCUGUUCAGGACCGUCCCACAGUGUUCCUGGAGGUCAUUCAGAGACACAACCAUCAGGGCUUUGGUGCAGGCAACUUCAAGGCUCUUUUCGAGGCCAUCGAGGCAGACCAGAAUGCUAGAGGAAACUUGACUAUCCUGAAACCUAAUGGAGUGUCUAACCAAAUUUGAAGUACCGCUCUGAUUUUCACGAUUGAUAUAAUGUCCAUCAUCUCUGAAGCUUACAUUUAAUUUAGAACUAUUGAAAAUAAUUUGUUCAACAAUUUAUAUCGGAGGUGAACCAGAAUCUAGUUGAAUGACUUUGAUGGAUAAAUUGCUGCUCUAUGCACACACUAUUCAAAUUUAAAUUAUGAUUGACAUGCCUUCUGGAGUCAAACAUAGGAAUGAUUGUUAAUUAUUCAAAUAAUAUAGUGAUGCUAAAAUAACAUAAAAAUAUAUUUGACUUGAUGCCAAUUUUAAAUACAGUGAUUUCAGAAAGUAUUCAUACCCCUUGACUUAUUCAACAUUUUGUUGUGUUUCAGCCUGAAUUCAAAAUGGAUUAAAACAAUUAUAAUUGUCACCCGUCAUAUGAAGAGUGGUACUCAGUGAUGUGUUGGAUUUGCCCCAAACAUAACGCUUUGUAUUCAGGAUAUAAAGUACAUUUCUUUGCUGUAUUUUUUAAGUUUUACUUUAGUGCUUCAUUGCAAA